ACGUAGCAAUACGUUUGUAAAGCGGCGAACGGGUGAGGAAUACAUGGGUAACCUACCCUCGAGUGGGGAAUAACUAGCCGAAAGGUUAGCUAAUACCGCGUACGCUCCUUGGACUUCGGUUCAGGGAGGAAAGCGAUACCGUGGGUAUCGCGCUCUUGGAUGGGCUCAUGUCCUAUCAGCUUGUUGGUGAGGUAACGGCUCACCAAGGCUUCGACGGGUAGCUGGUCUGAGAGGACGAUCAGCCACACUGGCACUGCGACACGGGCCAGACUCCUACGGGAGGCAGCAGUAAGGAAUAUUGCGCAAUGGGCGAAAGCCUGACGCAGCGACGCCGCGUGGGGGAUGAAGGUCUUCGGAUUGUAAACCCCUUUCGGGAGGGAAGAUGGAACGAGCAAUCGUUCGGACGGUACCUCCAGAAGCAGCCACGGCUAACUUCGUGCCAGCAGCCGCGGUAAUACGAAGGUGGCAAGCGUUAUUCGGAUUUACUGGGCGUACAGGGAGCGUAGGCGGUUCGGUAAGCCCUCUGUGAAAUCUUCAGGCUUAACCUGGAAAAGUCGGAGGGGACUGCUGGGCUAGAGGACGGGAGAGGAGCGCGGAAUUCCCGGUGUAGCGGUGAAAUGCGUAGAGAUCGGGAGGAAGGCCGGUGGCGAAGGCGGCGCUCUGGAACGUUUCUGACGCUGAGGCUCGAAAGCGUGGGGAGCAAACAGGAUUAGAUACCCUGGUAGUCCACGCCUUAAACUAUGAACACUAAGUGUCGGCGGUUUACCGCCGGUGCCGCAGCUAACGCAUUAAGUA
rnacentral:rRNA from 1 species